rnacentral:rRNA from 1 species
GGGUUGUGAGGUUAAGCGACUAAGCGUACACGGUGGAUGCCCUGGCAGUCAGAGGCGAUGAAGGACGUGCUAAUCUGCGAUAAGCGUCGGUAAGGUGAUAUGAACCGUUAUAACCGGCGAUUUCCGAAUGGGGAAACCCAGUGUGUUUCGACACACUAUCAUUAACUGAAUCCAUAGGUUAAUGAGGCGAACCGGGGGAACUGAAACAUCUAAGUACCCCGAGGAAAAGAAAUCAACCGAGAUUCCCCCAGUAGCGGCGAGCGAACGGGGAGCAGCCCAGAGCCUGAAUCAGUGUGUGUGUUAGUGGAAGCGUCUGGAAAGGCGCGCGAUACAGGGUGACAGCCCCGUACACAAAAAUGCACAUGCUGUGAGCUCGAUGAGUAGGGCGGGACACGUGGUAUCCUGUCUGAAUAUGGGGGGACCAUCCUCCAAGGCUAAAUACUCCUGACUGACCGAUAGUGAACCAGUACCGUGAGGGAAAGGCGAAAAGAACCCCGGCGAGGGGAGUGAAAAAGAACCUGAAACCGUGUACGUACAAGCAGUGGGAGCACGCUUAGGCGUGUGACUGCGUACCUUUUGUAUAAUGGGUCAGCGACUUAUAUUCUGUAGCAAGGUUAACCGAAUAGGGGAGCCGAAGGGAAACCGAGUCUUAACUGGGCGUUAAGUUGCAGGGUAUAGACCCGAAACCCGGUGAUCUAGCCAUGGGCAGGUUGAAGGUUGGGUAACACUAACUGGAGGACCGAACCGACUAAUGUUGAAAAAUUAGCGGAUGACUUGUGGCUGGGGGUGAAAGGCCAAUCAAACCGGGAGAUAGCUGGUUCUCCCCGAAAGCUAUUUAGGUAGCGCCUCGUGAAUUCAUCUCCGGGGGUAGAGCACUGUUUCGGCAAGGGGGUCAUCCCGACUUACCAACCCGAUGCAAACUGCGAAUACCGGAGAAUGUUAUCACGGGAGACACACGGCGGGUGCUAACGUCCGUCGUGAAGAGGGAAACAACCCAGACCGCCAGCUAAGGUCCCAAAGUCAUGGUUAAGUGGGAAACGAUGUGGGAAGGCCCAGACAGCCAGGAUGUUGGCUUAGAAGCAGCCAUCAUUUAAAGAAAGCGUAAUAGCUCACUGGUCGAGUCGGCCUGCGCGGAAGAUGUAACGGGGCUAAACCAUGCACCGAAGCUGCGGCAGCGACGCUUAUGCGUUGUUGGGUAGGGGAGCGUUCUGUAAGCCUGUGAAGGUGUGCUGUGAGGCAUGCUGGAGGUAUCAGAAGUGCGAAUGCUGACAUAAGUAACGAUAAAGCGGGUGAAAAGCCCGCUCGCCGGAAGACCAAGGGUUCCUGUCCAACGUUAAUCGGGGCAGGGUGAGUCGACCCCUAAGGCGAGGCCGAAAGGCGUAGUCGAUGGGAAACAGGUUAAUAUUCCUGUACUUGGUGUUACUGCGAAGGGGGGACGGAGAAGGCUAUGUUGGCCGGGCGACGGUUGUCCCGGUUUAAGCGUGUAGGCUGGUUUUCCAGGCAAAUCCGGAAAAUCAAGGCUGAGGCGUGAUGACGAGGCACUACGGUGCUGAAGCAACAAAUGCCCUGCUUCCAGGAAAAGCCUCUAAGCAUCAGGUAACAUCAAAUCGUACCCCAAACCGACACAGGUGGUCAGGUAGAGAAUACCAAGGCGCUUGAGAGAACUCGGGUGAAGGAACUAGGCAAAAUGGUGCCGUAACUUCGGGAGAAGGCACGCUGAUAUGUAGGUGAAGUCCCUCGCGGAUGGAGCUGAAAUCAGUCGAAGAUACCAGCUGGCUGCAACUGUUUAUUAAAAACACAGCACUGUGCAAACACGAAAGUGGACGUAUACGGUGUGACGCCUGCCCGGUGCCGGAAGGUUAAUUGAUGGGGUUAGCGCAAGCGAAGCUCUUGAUCGAAGCCCCGGUAAACGGCGGCCGUAACUAUAACGGUCCUAAGGUAGCGAAAUUCCUUGUCGGGUAAGUUCCGACCUGCACGAAUGGCGUAAUGAUGGCCAGGCUGUCU